rnacentral:rRNA from 1 species
UACGUAGGGUGCGAGCGUUAAUCGGAAUUACUGGGCGUAAAGCGUGCGCAGGCGGUGAUGUAAGACAGGUGUGAAAUCCCCGGGCUUAACCUGGGAACUGCAUUUGUGACUGCAUCGCUGGAGUGCGGCAGAGGGGGAUGGAAUUCCGCGUGUAGCAGUGAAAUGCGUAGAUAUGCGGAGGAACACCGAUGGCGAAGGCAAUCCCCUGGGCCUGCACUGACGCUCAUGCACGAAAGCAUGGGGAGCGAACAGG